rnacentral:rRNA from 1 species
AGUGAACGCUGGCGGUAGUCCUAACACAUGCAAGUCGAACGGCAGCACAGUAAGAGCUUGCUCUUACGGGUGGCGAGUGGCGGACGGGUGAGGAAUACAUCGGAAUCUACUUUUUCGCGGGGGAUAACGUAGGGAAACUUACGCUAAUACCGCAUACGACCUACGGGUGAAAGCAGGGGAUCUUCGGACCUUGCGCGAUUGAAUGAGCCGAUGUCGGAUUAGCUAGUUGGCGGGGUAAAGGCCCACCAAGGCGACGAUCCGUAGCUGGUCUGAGAGGAUGAUCAGCCACACUGGAACUGAGACACGGUCCAGACUCCUACGGGAGGCAGCAGUGGGGAAUAUUGGACAAUGGGCGCAAGCCUGAUCCAGCCAUACCGCGUGGGUGAAGAAGGCCUUCGGGUUGUAAAGCCCUUUUGUUGGGAAAGAAAAGCAGCAGGUUAAUACCCCGCUGUUCUGACGGUACCCAAAGAAUAAGCACCGGCUAACUUCGUG